rnacentral:rRNA from 1 species
GACGAACGCUGGCGGCGUGCUUAACACAUGCAAGUCGAACGGAAAGGCCCUGCUUUUGUGGGGUGCUCGAGUGGCGAACGGGUGAGUAACACGUGAGUAACCUGCCCUUGACUUUGGGAUAACUUCAGGAAACUGGGGCUAAUACCGGAUAGGAGCUCCUGCUGCAUGGUGGGGGUUGGAAAGUUUCGGCGGUUGGGGAUGGACUCGCGGCUUAUCAGCUUGUUGGUGGGGUAGUGGCUUACCAAGGCUUUGACGGGUAGCCGGCCUGAGAGGGUGACCGGCCACAUUGGGACUGCGAUAGGGCCCAGACUCCUACGGGAGGCAGCAGUGGGGAAUAUUGCACAAUGGGCGGACGCCUGAUGCAGCAACGCCGCGUGCGGGAUGACGGCCUUCGGGUUGUAAACCGCUUUCGCCUGUGACGAAGCGUGAGUGACGGUAAUGGGUAAAGAAGCACCGGCUAACUACGUG